rnacentral:tRNA from 1 species
ACGCCCGUGGCUCAACAGGAGAGAGCACCGGUCUACGAAGCCGGGGGUGCAGGUUCGAGUCCUGCCGGGCGUG